rnacentral:rRNA from 1 species
AUUGAACGCUGGCGGCAUGCUUUACACAUGCAAGUCGAACGGUAACAGGCCUCCGGGUGCUGACGAGUGGCGAACGGGUGAGUAAUGCAUCGGAACGUACCCAGAGGUGGGGGAUAACGCAGCGAAAGCUGUGCUAAUACCGCAUGUGAUCUGAGGAUGAAAGCGGGGGACCGAGCAGCAAUGUUUGGCCUCGCGCCUUUGGAGCGGCCGAUGUCGGAUUAGCUAGUUGGUGGGGUAAAGGCCUACCAAGGCGACGAUCCGUAGCUGGUCUGAGAGGACGACCAGCCACACUGGGACUGAGACACGGCCCAGACUCCUACGGGAGGCAGCAGUGGGGAAUUUUGGACAAUGGGCGCAAGCCUGAUCCAGCAAUGCCGCGUGCGGGAAGAAGGCCUUCGGGUUGUAAACCGCUUUUGGCAGGAACGAAACGGUGUCCGCUAAUACCGGGCGCUAAUGACGGUACCUGCAGAAUAAGCACCGGCUAACUACGUG